UACAGAGGGUGCAAGCGUUAAUCGGAUUUACUGGGCGUAAAGCGCGCGUAGGCGGCUAAUUAAGUCAAAAUGUGAAAUCCCCGAGCUUAACUUGGGAAUUGCAUUCGAUACUGGUUAGCUAGAGUGUGGGAGAGGAUGGUAGAAUUCCAGGUGUAGCGGUGAAAUGCGUAGAGAUCUGGAGGAAUACCGAUGGCGAAGGCAGCCAUCUGGCCUAACACUGACGCUGAGGUGCGAAAGCAUGGGGAGCAAACAGG
rnacentral:rRNA from 1 species